CAAAGGUGAUUGAGAAGGAUUCUUAAUCCUGCUUCCAACUGCUGCUUUGCUUCUUCUGUGUCACAUUCCCUGACCAACUGCUUCGGAUAGGUGUUUGCUGUUUCACUUCAGGAAUGGAGAAGACAUUGUAGACAAAAAGCAAAAAAAAUCAGAAAAGCAUUCUUCUUCCACUGCACCUAUGCAUAUUUAUAGGAAAGCCAUGGAAGAGUUGAAUGGAAGAGAAAGCUUGGGGCCAAUCAAAUAUAAAAGAGGAGGAAUACACUGAAACUUACAAGAUCAGCCAAAUUUGGCCAGUUGCUGAAACCUAGUUGGGGAUGGCAAAGAAAGGAAGUUAUACUUCAGAAGAUUUCCUGUCUGAUCCUGCGCCGGGAAGACCCCAGUGAUAAAACUCAAAAUGGAUUGUUAUUUUUCCUUCAUCACUGAAAGGCUGCUUCAGACAACACAUUUUAUUCAGCCUGCUUGCACCCCCUAGAUAAAUAACUUACUGGUGAUCCAGUGGCAGAUGUUCAAUAGACUGAAAACCUACCCCAGUUAUAUUGGGAGCGGCCAUCUUGGAUGCUACCCCAGCCACUCAUAUGUCUGUCAUUUUCCUUUUGAACAAUUGAUGAAAAAAUUAAAAUAAAAAAUUGUUAUGACCCAGUCCUGGAGUCACCAGAGUUGGCUUGGCUUACCCUGACCACUUUCAAUACCCAUUUCACCCCACCAUGAAUCCAGGGGUUGAAAAAAAAAGUAUUAAGAAAUGGAGCUACUCAAGGCUUCUAUUUUUUUGCACUGAUAGAGAUAGGUAAUCUUUAUUAAUCUUUUCUUGAUAAGGGUUUUCUUGUUUGAAGUACAUUCUGUCCAACCCUUGAUCCCUUCAUGCAAUACCCAUCAAAGUGACUAAGUUUAGAAAAUAAAUCUUGAUUUAGCAAUCAGAUGGAACACCACAGGAAUUUCAUUUUCUGCAUCCAGUUUCACAAAGUACAAUAGACACCCUUUAUCUUCCUUUCAAUUAAUGCCCACAUAUAGAACAAAAUGAUGCCCUGGGACUAAAAAUGAAAGAUAAGACAACAUAGGGCUCAAUUUUGUCUUGGUUUCCAUUUUUCCCCACAGACAUAAUGAAAACUUUUCUUCAUUAAAAAAAGAAGAAAAAAAUUUAAUAUAUUGGUUCCCCAUUGCUUUGUGAAGCAUGUAAACAAUUGCUAGUGCCAUCAAUUAUUUGCUUACUAAAAGCUUUUAAGAAUGUAACAUCACAAUUGGGAUAUUUUAAAGCUUUCUUCAAUAUUUGCUUAAGUAAGGCGAUGAUUCUGCACAUCUGUAAUUCCAAAUACGUGAAGUUGUAAUUUCUAAUACUGGAUUUAAUUGUGGAGGAUAAAUUACUAUGACCUAGAUUAAGCUAAUUUCAUUAUGCAUUUUGCACUCUAACUUAAAUUGGUCUUUAAAUCCUAGCUAUUGAUUCCAGCAGAGGCAGGUUAAUGAGGGUUCCCUUUGCAAAGAUGGCUGAUUGUCAAUAUUUGCUCCAAAAUUGCUCUAUGCUCUGAGAACAAAGAGCUCUUAUAAAUAUUUGAUAAGCAAUGAUAAAUAUAUUCGUCUUCUUUAUAUCAGAGUAAAAAAAACCCUGAUAAACAUAAAGACAAGGUAAAAGUCAAUAUAAUCUGGACUGUUAGAAUAAGUGAAACUGAAUUUUAAGAACAUUAGAAACUUACAGUGGACACAUUUAAAUGUUUAGAAGCUUGGGUGAAAUAAACUGUUAAUUCCAUGAAUAGAUAGAGUAUUUAUGCUGAUCUAACUGAAGAAAAAAGUCUCUAGGGAGAUUUUCCUGAAAAAUCAUGUCUGCUGUGAUCACUGUUUCGUGUCCUAUGACUAUCUGAAAAAGUGAGUAAUAGUAAUGUAGGUGAAUAAUAGGGAUCUCAUGGAGCUAUUGUGAGGGCAUAGCACACAAUUAAAAAAAAAAAGUAAGUCGUUUCACUCAUUUAAAGGAUGAUGGAAGUCAUGAGUCAGUGUAAUGGUAUGUGGGAAAACCUUGGGAGACUGGGCAAAGAGAUGCUGCCUAGGGAACAGUCAGAGAAG